rnacentral:rRNA from 1 species
GGAGGGUGCGAGCGUUGUUCGGAAUUAUUGGGCGUAAAGCGCGUGUAGGCGGCUCCUUAAGUCUGAUGUGAAAGCCCCGGGCUCAACCUGGGAAGUGCAUUGGAAACUGGGGAACUUGAAUACGGGAGAGGGUAGUGGAAUUCCUAGUGUAGGAGUGAAAUCCGUAGAUAUUAGGAGGAACACCGGUGGCGAAGGCGGCUACCUGGACCGAUAUUGACGCUGAGACGCGAAAGCGUGGGGAGCAAACAGGAUUAGAUACCCUGGUAGUCCACGCCGUAAACGAUGAGUACUAGGUGUUGCGGGUAUUGACCCCUGCAGUGCCGCAGCUAACGCAUUAAGUGCCCCGCCUGGGGAGUACGGCCGCAAGGCUA